UUUGAAGAAUGGGCUUAAUAUGGUGGACCCAAUUGAGAAUGGGAGAGCAGCAGUAUUGCAAAAGUUGUGGUGAAGUACAGUUGCAUCUCUGGAAGGAGGCUAGGUUGCUUGGAGUUGUUUGAAUCAUGGGAUGAGGCAUCAACCUUCACGUUGCUUACCAUGUAAUCAUUGUUGAUGGUUCGUGGAACCCUACUUAUGAUCUUCAGGCUCAGGUUUGGAGGUAUGGGCAAACAAAGCCAGUUUAUGCAUAUCGUUUGAUGGCACAUGGAACUAUGGAAAAAAUAUAUAAACGGCAGGUGACAAAAGAGGGGCUUGCUGCAAAGGGUGGUUGAUAGGCAACAAAUACAUCGGACCAUUUUUAAGUAAGGAGGUCCUGCAUCUCUUGGAUUUGUAUUUUAAUUGAUGGGACAUAAUUAUGAUGAUCAUUUGUUAAGUUUUCAGGGAAAAUGAUAUUCUUUACAUUAUCUUAUUUCAUCAGUGGCUGACCUAAUU